rnacentral:lncRNA from 1 species
UGAAAUGUAAGAAAUAAAUAAUAAAAUAAUCAAUGCUUGAAUAACAUAAAUUGCAACACGUAACUUAAUAAUAAAGAAAGAAAACAAUGAUUAAAAUGCCGUGUAGCUUUGGAGUCAAACAUUCAAUGCAAAGUGCUGAGUAAAAUUGGAAUGCAAUGAUUUAGCAAUUGUAAUUAAUACUAUUAAAAUGAUAUUAAGCUAGAAAAAAAAAACUCAUCACGGAUACAGUGCAAAGAAAAGACGUAAACAGUAAAGGANCCAAAUGCACUUUGGGGCUAUUCCUCUUUGACAUNACAGCUACAAAUUUCUUCAAAAAUGAAAUGUGAAAAUCUAAAGGAAAUGAAUCAUUGCUGCAACGAAACAAUCACCUUUCCUCCAACCAAAUGAAAGAGAGUNCACAUGAAAAUAUAUGUAAACGUCCCCGUGUUUGUGUGCUGUUCAAAAAUAAUGAUCCUCUCCAUUUCAUCCUUGCCUCUCAACAAUGUUUAAUAAAAGCUAAAAAUAAAAAGAAAGCAGUGGCUGCAAGCUAAGGUCGUAGCACCCUCUUUCAUCCAAACUCCAUUAACGCAAACAUGGUUCUAUUUUUCCAAGCUUCNCCUUCAAGUGACGGCUUCUUCCCCUCAUGUAACAGUGCCCUACAUGAAAGACACUUGAAUUCCAUGGGCUGCUGCUGGGCCGAGACACUCCCUGCUAGGUCCGUGAAG